rnacentral:rRNA from 1 species
GACGAACGCUGGCGGCGUGCUUAACACAUGCAAGUCGAGCGGAAAGGCCCUUUCGGGGGUACUCGAGCGGCGAACGGGUGAGUAACACGUGAGUAAUCUGCCCUGUGCUUUGGGAUAGCCACCGGAAACGGUGAUUAAUACCGGAUACGACCAACCUACGCAUGUGGUGUUGGUGGAAAGUUUUUCGGCGCAGGAUGUGCUCGCGGCCUAUCAGCUUGUUGGUGGGGUAAUGGUCUACCAAGGCUUCGACGGGUAGCCGGCCUGAGAGGGUGACCGGCCACACUGGGACUGAGACACGGCCCAGACUCCUACGGGAGGCAGCAGUGGGGAAUAUUGGACAAUGGGCGGAAGCCUGAUCCAGCAACGCCGCGUGAGGGAUGACGGCCUUCGGGUUGUAAACCUCUUUCAGCACCGACGAAGCGAGAGUGACGGUAGGUGCAGAAGAAGGACCGGCCAACUACGUGCCAGCCGCCGCAGUAAAAC